rnacentral:lncRNA from 1 species
GCCAAGAGAUUGACUUUCUAGACAUUGAGGUUGGGAUUGUCGGGGGUGAGUGCGAUCUUGGUGUGUGCCGCAAACACACAUAUGUGCCAAUGUUCGUGCCGGCAAUGUCGCGGGAGCCGUGGACGUUUGGGAUGGCAGCUUUCCGGUCGCUCCUAUACAGAAUGGAUACGCACUGCACGACGUGCCGCAGUGGAAUGGAGGAGCUUAACUGGAUUGUAGAGCGGGCAGUGCGGGUGGGGUGUGGUGAGGGCGUGAUCCUUGGGUUGUGGAGGGGACUCUCCCGAACUGGUGGCCGCGAUGGUGAGCGCAGGGAGUUGCAGUCA